rnacentral:rRNA from 1 species
GAUGAACGCUGGCGGCGCGCUUAACACAUGCAAGUCGACCGAUAACCAUGGCUUCGGCCAUGGGGAGAGCGGCGAACGGGUGAGUAACACGUGAGCGAUCUACCCUCGACACCGGGAUAGCCCGGGGAAACCCGGAUUAAUACCGGAUGGCCUCUCGAGCCCACGGGCUCGUUAGAAAAGAUGGCUUCGGCUUUCGGUCGAGGAGGAGCUUGCGGCGGAUUAGCUUGUUGGUGGGGUAACGGCUCACCAAGGCGACGAUCCGUAGCUGGUCUGAGAGGACGAUCAGCCACACUGGGACUGAGACACGGCCCAGACUCCUACGGGGGGCAGCAGUGGGGAAUCUUGCGCAAUGGGCGAAAGCCUGACGCAGCGACGCGGCGGGAGGGAAGAAGGCCUUCGGGUUGUAAACCUCUUUCAGGAGGGACGAAGCCACUCGGGUUAAUACCCCAGAGGGUGACGGUACCUCCAGAAGAAGCCCCGGCUAACUCCGUGCCAGCAGCCGCCGUAAUAC